AAGCUGUGUUGGGCGAUCUCUGCUCUCACAGACUUUGUCAGCGUGAAAGAUGCAUGACUGCUUUCCAUGCAGCCGAGCUUCAGCAAGCAGAGUCUUAUCCAAGAAGGCCGUCUGGAGGGAUGAACAGACAGCAGCAGAGGGGGCAGAAAUCACAGUUAACAGGAUGGAGGGGAGAUGGAGGAGAAGCACAAGGUGAAGAGAAAACAUAUCCUCUUUCCCUGCUGCCAGCUUCCACCUGCAACAGGUCACCAUCAGGGGAGAAAAAGAAAACGUAAUAUUGAACCAAGUUCUAAGUAUUAUCUGUUACAUGGGACUGGACUCUUACAUUAUUGAUUAGAGGAGCUUGUAUCACCUGGGUGACCAGCAAACCUGCCUGAGUUUUCAUCCAAAUGCAAGAGAAGAACGAAGCCUACACAGCAACAGCCACCACUGUGUCCAUGAGGAACGUGCCAGUGGCUGUCUCUGAACCUGCACUGGGAAAACCACAAGGACAACCUAAUCGACUAUGACAAUUCUCACGCUGCAGUGCUUGAAGGAAAAGAAGAUGAAUCAUAUAUAGAGAACUCCUCUGAAGGCAAGUUACUGGGAUUCAGUGGGUCUAGCUAAGUUGAAUUGAAGAAUGUGGCUGAGCCAGGGAAUGACUCAGCCAGGGACUGAACAGCCCCAGAUUCUUUCCCCAUCUCUGUUUCCUCCUCUUCUCUUUGUUUCCAUUCCAUUCUUCUCUUCCUCUCUGUAACCUGCUUCCUCUGCUUUUCUGGUUCACGUAGCAGAAAAAUAUGGCUGUAGAGAACCCUCUAAGUUCACGUGUUACUGUUCCCACCAUCUGGGAGGAAACACAGUUCUCCAAGUUUCCAGGGAAGAGACUCUGGGUCAGCUCAGCACUAUGACCACCAUAGCCUCAGGAACUAUACAGUAGGGGCAGGGUGAGUGAGUCCUACUACAGGAACAUGGCCAGUCCUAACUCGACGGUAUGGACAGAGAUGGGAACAGCGCCCCACACUGGAGGGAGAACUGGACAGAAAACAAAGUAUUCAUUAUGAGAACUGAAGUCACGUUUUCUCUGGUGAGCAGAGUGUCUGAACCAGAACCAAGGGAGAGGUACAGGUGGUGAGCUGAAUUGUGCGAGAUGCUAACUCUUCAAAAAGCUGCCCCCCCAAAAAAACCAGUGAUAUGUGUGGCUGAAAACUGGGUGUAACGGAGAGAUGGACCUGAAUGAAGACUCCCUGGCCACUGCAUGGACAAUUCAGAGAAAAGCGACUUGCAGGAGAGUAGAGGGCUUGCAGUGGUCAAAUGUUUCGUCUGAUAAAUAUUCAGGUGUCGUUCCCCUCAGAGACCAAAUGCACAGAUGGACUGAAUGUAAGAAAAAAGAAUGUCUCUCAUUGGCCGCCUUUAAUCUCUUUCAUCUUUGGAAGUAAAAAGACUAUUUAUAGAUUUCUCUUUCUGCAAGCGCUGCUUUCAAGAUGAUGUGCAGGCUGUGUCUCCAGGGCCUCCCUGACGGCAGCUCCCACCAGGCACACCUCCCACCAGGGAGGGCCUCCUGGGUCCCACCACGCCCGGGUCAGUGAGCAAGGGCCCGUUACUGGUCCCUGAGUACUCACGUGGCUGUUCCCCUAACUCCUCCAUAAGUCUCUUCCUUUGGGAAAGAAAAAGAUGACUGCCUAUGGUCCCUAGAACAUAAACAGAUGGCUUCCUUGCCAUCACACCACUCAUUGGUUUACUGCACGGGCCCUUCAGUGAUAUCUGGCUGUGUCACAACUCAGCAUCCUUGGUGACUGAGGCUGUGACACUUCUGCCAAGGCUGGAGCACCGUCACCCAUGAGUGCUCAGAGCCUGAGAGAAGUAGUGGAUGCAGAAGAGACUUGGUAAAGGAGGCUAAAUC